AUUCUUCCUCUAGUGAGUUUUGAGAGGAAGCUUAUUUACUGAUGCACUCCCAGAUGCACAUGAUGCUGUCCUCCUAGGGUUCAGUCUCUAUGGAAAAAGUGUGGAAACUGGUGUGUGGUCAAGGACUGUUGGAACAAGUCCUCAGCCAUUUGUAGGGCAGCAUAUUAGCUUGCUACCUGGGAUUUUUUCUUCAACAAUUUGAUAAGUAGGAGCAUCAUUCCGGAACCUAGUUCUUAAUAGACAUCAUUUUCCAGUAGUGUAACAAACACAUGAUGCAUGAUAGAACUUAAUGUUCAGUUCAAACCCAACCCAACUCAGCUCAGCGCAAAUAAAUUAUAUUUUUCUUUCCUUUGUGUAGGGAAAGGAAUUUUCUAGAACUUUAUUUAAAAACACAGGAUCUUUAAAAAAAUCUGUUAAAAAUUUGUAGUGGAGACCCAUUCCUUCUCCAAUACCCAGCUAAAAUGUAACCUUUGUGUGCUUUUUCUGACCUAUAUUAUCUUUUCUAUGGUUUUGUUGUACUUUAUACACAUCUCUAUUAUGGCAUUUUUCACAUGGUAUGGUAAUUCCUCCCUCCCUCCCUCCCUCCCUCCCUCCCUCUCUCUCUUCCAUCAGUUUUAAUCUCAUGGAAAGAACAUCUUUGUAUACCCAACUCCUAGUCCAGUGUCCAGCACAAAAUAGAUGAUCUUUAUAUAUUUUUCAGUAAAUGAAUGAGUGAGUGAUGGAUAAAUUACCCAGUUUUGUAUUAGAUGUAGUCAAACCCCCAAACAUUCAGAAGGAAUUUAUAAAAUAAAGCGCCUCCAGGGCCAUCUCAUUUAGACUUUGAUAGCAGGCCCAAAAUAACUAUUUCCCUCUAUCUUUUAUCACCACUCCUCGUCUGAAAGCUUAUAACAUGGAAUCAGAAGACCCUGCUUACCAUUUUUCCAAUCAUCAUUACAUACGGGCCCAAAUACUUGUUCACGCCGAAGAUGUCUAGGAGACGGAUGUACCAGUAAAUGAUGUUCACGCAGUAGAUGACCCUCCCGUCACUCCUGAAGGGCUGGUCUUGGAGACGAAGGAUCAUUCCAACAGAGAACAGAAGGAUGGCAAUGAGUUUACAAAUGGGAAAUCCACAACAUUGGUCAAGAAGAAAAGUCACCAUGAAUGGGAAGACCGAAGUGUAGACGACUAGCUGGAACAAGGCAAAGCGUUCCUUUUUUUUUUUUUUUUUCUCAAUCCAGGCGCUUGUAAAAUGGGACUAGCAGACCCACUCCCAGGUUCUCAGGAUGGGGAGAGGGUAGUCGGAGUUAAAAUAUCCCCCAAAUAGUUUAUAAACUCAAGAGAAGGGCUUAAGAGAUAAGACAUUUGGAUCCCAAUACAACUGCAUCUAAGAGAUACCGCAUCUUUUCUCUGGAAGAGAACAUUCUAGAGCUGAAACGCUUGCCUUUUAACCUGUCUUUGUAAUGAAGGCAAGAGUGAAGUUGUGGAUUUGCAGGAGUCCGUUUUUUCCUAUGGUGCCCAGUAUGUUUUCCCACCCGCUGUAGUACAGCAAUUAGGGUUGUUCCUGAGCUCUUAAAGACUCAGUGGACUUGAAUGGGAGCAUUUCCUCCAGAAAGGGCCUGUCCUGCUUACUGUCAUUUCAGGAAAGAGAAAUCAGCACUACCUCCUAAACCUUUCUUCCCUAAUGGCUUUCCCUGAUGAAAUAGGAGCUCGGGGUGAACAUUGAGCGGGGCUGCAGAGCCCUCUUGUGGACUUUUGCUUGAUCACAUUCUUUUUAGCAGCUCUGAAUCUGAUGGGCCCCUGAGGUUGGCUCUGAUUUCAAAUAAACCACUUAGGGGUGGCAUUUUGAGGGCUCCUUUUAGGCCAUAGAAGUUGGGGGAGAAAAGAGGGGACGCUGCACCCACAACCCGAAGGACCUGUGUUCAGUCCGCCUUGGUGGUCCCUACCGCUGGCAGAGUGGUUGGUGUCCAGCAGGUGCGAGCACAAUGUUGAGAAGAAAUAAACCAGAGAAUAAAUCCAAUGAAUGAGUGAAAGCAGAGUUCCUCCUAGAACAGCCGAAACACAUCUGGAGAGUCACAGGUAUUGGCAGGCUGUGUCCGAAGACACCCAGAAUAAGGGGGUGAAAUGGGAGUUAAAAGUGGCAAAAUCUAGAAAGUCAUGUUUAUAGGGAUGAGGAAAGACAUGUAAACGGCAUCAAAAACAACUGGAGGCCUUCUUGGGACAAAAGCUAUGUUAGCAGAGAAUAGACCAAAUCCUAAGCACUCAGGGAGUUAUACCCCUAUCAGCACCACACUGUGAGCCUUCCCAGGUUUGUCAGAGCUAAGCAGCAGCUGUGGUAGCGUUAGAGAAAACAGUUUCCGGCUUCAUCUGCAUCCCAGGCAUCUUCCUGUCCCCUCCGUCCACAGAUAGAACUUAACCACUGUCUUUCUCUUAUGUUUUAGUUUAUAAAAGCUGUUACCUCUCUCAUCUUUUCUAUUCCCAGGGUGAAAAUAUAGGAGAUGACGAUCCAUUCCUGGGUGGACGGCCAGCGUUCCAUCUUCACUAACACGAUAUAGUUGAAGAGCAUCAGGUAUCCGAUAUACGCCAGCUGUAAGGAAAUACAAUACAGUGGUCUGGCUGUUCAGGCCCAGGAGCCUCAGCGUCAGCCACGGCCACUGCACAGCAGCACAGAACAAGGCCCAGUGACAUGCACAUUCUUCCAGAACCUCUGCAUUUUAGUACCCACUUCACACCUUGAAUUUGAAUCCUCUCCAGCCGGAUACCUGAAAUAGGCUCUCAACACAAGCAGGGUCGAGGAGCCAGCUGGACCCCUGCCUGCUUUCUUCUCGGACCAGAAGAGGACCCAACCUACUCCUAGAGAAACUUGCUACAAUGCAGAAGUGAGGUUACAUGGAAAUGAGGUGUGUCCUACCUUUCAGAAACUUGGGAGAGUAGGACACACCAUUUUUGGAAAUCUGGUGAGAAAUACUCUUACAGAGAAAAACACAGCCCCAAGUAAAGUACAUGGGACCUUCAAUCUGAAACUGAAUUGUAUUGUUAGGCAUGUCUGGUGAUUCAAAAGACUGGCAUACCUCAUUUCCGAUCACUUCCUCGAGGCCUGGGCUUUGUCGAUACGUGAAGAUGAAUUUUGGAGAAUCAUGAAAACACAACUGAACGGAUCUGGGGGAUCCAGUCUGAGGCCAACUCAGCCAUGCAGAAGAGUGCUGGACACACAGGCCCCACCCCCCAAAGAGGCAGCCUCCCAACAAGCUGCCAAUGACAUAAGCAAAGCAGCGUGUCUCAAGCAUCUCUAAUCACAAGUUUCGCCUGGGAAGCUAGUUAAACUAACACAGCCUCUUAGGCUCCUUCAUGAAGAUUUGAUUCCAUGGGUCUAUGAUGGGGCUAGAAAUUCGCAUUUCUAACAAAACGCCCUUGUCAUCAUGGAAGUUUUAGAAAUGUUGAUACUAUUACGUCUACUGAUUUCUGCUCUCAGCAGUCUGUAAACUUUUUCUGCAAAUGGCCAACUGGUUAACAACUUUUAAGGCUUUGUAGACCUGGUAGUCUCUCUCUGUCUCUCACCACUCAUUAACUCGAUGUGGUAGCACAAAAGCAGGCAGCCUACUGGUAAUGUUAAAUGAGGUUUAGCCUAAAGCUGCCUCCUUACAUAUUUUAAGUUCGGCCUAAAGUUUUCUCUGUACAUUGUGAACUAUAACAAAUGAAGGUGUAACAAGACCAAUCACUGAAUUUCAGUCAAUCAAAUGUAGCCAGCUGCUCAAAAUGUGUUCAAAUAAGGUAAAUGCUGAGCUGUAACCAAUCCAGCUGUUUGUGUACGUCACUUCCGUUUUCUGUCCAUAAUUCUUCCACCACGUGGCCCUGCUGGAGUCUCUGAGCCUCCUCUGGCUUGGAAGGCUGUCCCAUUCACGAAUUGUUCAUUGCUCAAUUAAAUUCCUUUAACAGAAAUUAA